rnacentral:misc_RNA from 1 species
AAGUCGUAACAAGGUUUCCGUAGGUGAACCUGCGGAAGGAUCAUUACCGAGACUGCCCCUUAGGGGGCGACCUCCCACCCGUGAUUAUUUACCGAUGUUGCUUUGGCGGGCGGCGGGCUCCGGCCCACCACAUGCCCGUCAGAGGACCCAAACAUUCUUGUUUUUCUGAUGCAGUCUGAGUAACGUUAUAAUUACUAAAA